rnacentral:rRNA from 1 species
AGGAUAAACGCUGGCGGCGUGCUUAAUAUAUGCAAGUCGAGCGGCAGCGCGGGGGCGACCCUGGCGGCGAGCGGCGGACGGGUGAGUAAGGCAUCGGAAUCUGUCCUGAUGUGGGGGAGUAACGUAGGGAAACUUACGCUAAUACCGCAUACGACCGAGAGGUGAAAGCGGGGGACCGAAAGGCCUCGCGCAGCAGGAUGAGUCGAUGUCCGAUUAGCUGGUUGGUGGGGUAACGGCCCACCAAGGCGACGAUCGGUAGCCGGUCUGAGAGGAUGGUCAGCCACACUGGGACUGAGACACGGCCCAGACUCCUACGGGAGGCAGC